rnacentral:rRNA from 1 species
UACAGAGGAUGCAAGCGUUAUCCGGAAUGAUUGGGCGUAAAGCGUCUGUAGGUGGCUUUUUAAGUCCGCCGUCAAAUCCCAGGGCUCAACUCUGGACAGGCGGUGGAAACUACCAAGCUGGAGUACGGUAGGGGCAGAGGGAAUUUCCGGUGGAGCGGUGAAAUGCGUAGAGAUCGGAAAGAACAUCAGUGGCGAAAGCGACUUCCUGGACCAAUACUGACGCUCAUGUGCGAAAGCGUGGGGAGCAAACAGG